AGGGAUCACAAUCCACCUCAGGACCUUUGCACUGGCUGAUCCCCCUGCUAGGACUUACAACGCCCAGAGAUGAGCAUCACUGGCUGCUUCUGCCCUCUCUGGUCAAUGAGUCGGGACAGACAGUCUCCCAAGGACACGGUUUCCUUGCAGAAUAAUGGAAAUUUAGGCACCAGACAGAAAGUCAAGACGGGGACUUCUGGUCUACCCGGGAGACUAAGGUGGCCGACGGCGUUUCGUUGAUUCCCUGGAGGACCCUUCACAUGUGUGCUCCCGAUGGAAAAAUCAGAACGCUCCUUUUGCUUUACGGAGAAUCCCAUCUAACACACAGGACAUGGGGUUGGUGUGAACCCAAGGCGCAGAGGCCAACACCUGUGCCAUCUGUGCUCAUGGAGAGCUGGAGAAUCCGACCCUGCAAAACCCCAGAGAUCUCCAGAGCCCAAGGUGACACGGCGAGCGGGGAGGCGGCCGGCUUACACUGGAGUCUCCAGAUCUUCUGUGCAUUUCCAGGCAUAGCAGCUCUAAGGAAUAAAAAGGCCGUUUCCAAAAAAUCAUUUUACGAAGGGAGGCAUUCUCCUUGUCCACGAAGGGUUCUCCAACCUUGACAUUUGAAUGAGGUCCAUGCAUGUCUACGUAGAAGUGGUGCCAGAAAGAGCCUCAAGAAAUAAGUGCAGCUACCCAGUGUGUCUACGUAUGCACCUGCUCCAGGAGGAGCGUGCAGAGUUCCAGUUCGAAAGAGAUCUUUGAAUCCAGAGGUGUAAAUACUGGGGGAGAAAAUGGGUAAAAGGACGGGAUGCUGCUGCCCCACACCGUGCCUCUGCUUCUCUCGAGACGACACUCGUUUGGAGCGCACUCUGGUCCAGACGGGAUCUCCGUGCAGCUCUGAAUGUCUUUUCCUCAAAGCAGGACGGUCUGGUGAACACGGUCUAGUGCACACACCCGCAGCAGCCGCGCUCAGGGAGCCGGGGAGAGGUUAGCAAGUGUGAUGAGCGGCGGCGGCAGCGGCGGCAGGACCGGGGCUGUUCCUCACCUCUGAGCUCCUCUGUGGAGCUGAUUAGGGGCCACCGUGCAUCGUGAACACGACUGAUGCAUGCAGGCAGCCCAGUCUAUUACCCUCCAGUCGCCGCAUCCCGUGUCGGGCGUUGGCGGUAACUGUGCCUGGCGUGCCCUGUCGCCUCUCGUCAGGCUUGCUACGCCUCGCUCAGUGUUUUCCAGGAGGCUGGCUCCCUCAGGGACAUUGCUCCUUCCCGUGGCAGAUGGCUCGUGACUUAAAUCCCAUCUGUGGUUUCCCACCAGGAUGACAGGCGGUCUGACCUGGAAGGGACUCUGGGGACCUGCGUGUUCAGACUGUGAAAACCAAGUCUCGGUGGCCCCAUGGUGUAUUUGGGUGACGGGCACACAUCUGAGCACGUGCUCCUCCAAUUAUGUCUCAAUUAGUUGGGGUUGCCUUGAUGCACCUGCCUGAUGCCUGGCGUUCUCAGCUGACAUGUGUGCUUACGUGGGUAUAAGACACACGUCCGUACAUACAUGCAUUGAUGUCCUCGGCCUCACAUGCACGUACCACACCACAUGCAUACACGCACACAUGUACCAACACAUGGCACAUACUGCUCCCUAUACACAAUUCGCCACCACAGAAUUCGCAAUAUCAAUGAUACAAAACUAUCCCCCUGACAGCUGCCAUCCGAUAGUUUGUUCUCCUUUGUUUAGACAUAGUAGCAAUGAGGACUUCUUUAUUAUUAUUAUUAAUUGUUAUUGUUAUUGCAAGUGAUUUGUUAUUUAUUAUUGAUAUAACCAUUUAUGUUUGCAAGUCCCCUCAAACACCUAGAUUCACAUCUUCCGAAGCAUUCUGAAGGUAUCCCUACCCUGAAGACCUGCCCACAGCCUUCUGGGAUGGGAGAAACAUGCUUUUUUAUGUUUCCAUGUCAUUUUGUUUUUUCUUUUUCCUAUCCCGCAAGGGCUCGUGAAUCGUGGGUGGGUGGAUUUGGUGCUUGUGUAUGAGCUGCAAUAUGUGAUCAUGCUCUUAGCUGUACUACGGUGAGCCCCAAGGAGGCUCAGAUCGUGCAUCUGUCAGGGUUGUCCAGAGAAACGGAACUGAAAGGUUGCAUAUUCAUAUAAAGACAGAGAUGUUUUUUCUUUUUCUUUUUUUUUUUUUUUUUAAGAACUGGGUCAUGCCAUAGUGGGAGCUGAGAAGUCCAAAACCUUCAGGGUAGACCAGCACACUAGACAUGCGGGAAACAGCUGAGGUGUGCAGACCAUGUGCCGACAGGAUUCCCUUUCGCUCAGGGGAGGUCACUGCUCAUUCUCUUAAAGCCCUCAACUGGUUAGAUGAGGCCCACCCAUCUCAUGGGUGGAUGGUAAUCCACUUCGUGGAUGGCAAUCUGCUUCACUCAGUGUCCACUGCAUUCAAUGCCAACCGCGUGCCGAAAAUAACAUAAAACACUUACAAAGAACCCUCCGGAAUGAUAUUUGAUCACAUCUCUGUAGCCCUGUGGCUUGGACACGUUGACACAUAAAAACGACCAUCACAGAUCUGCUCGCUGUUGAGGAAGACAAAACGACUGGAGACCUGGAGCCAGUGACAGGCUCCACAGGGUCUCCAAGAGAAACUUUGGUGCUUUUCUUCCACACCAGCAGGAUUAACCGAAUAUUCACUUGCCACGGACAAUACGUGCGUUAGUAAAAUUCCCACAUUCCCCUGCCUUGUGGGCCUGGCGUAUUAGAGCAGCUCAAAAGUGCAAACAUCGGCGUCUAUCCUUCGUCCCCAUGUGUGCAUCCACAGUCUUGCAUGGGGAGUCUGAAAACUACAGUGGAGCCUGGUGCGUGUUUUGGCAGUUUUCUAUUUCCCCCCAUCUGUGGGUCGCUUUUUGCAGAAACCUGCGCCAGACCUCAGAGUACACGUCCCGGCUUCUCAGGCUGGCGAGGCAGUUUCCGGGAGUCUUGCGGAAGGGCAGAUUGCGAUGUAGCAGAGCCGAGACUUCUGCCCCCAGGUGAGGUCGGUGCCGCAGGUGCACGGGACACACUCUGGGCACCCGUGGACGCCUAGCUCAGCAGUCACAGCGGAGCACACGAUGGCCGGCAUGGACGAAUUCCCAAGGCUUCAACCCAAAUCUCCUCCCGUGUUAAAACGCUCUCACAUUGCAGCAAGAAGAGGGAACCCGCAAGCCAGCCCGGGCUGCAGACAGACAACUGGAGUUAGUACACUCCCACCUGCUUCUAAAGCCCGGGUACGCAAGUCUUCACGACGCCCAGAGCCCCCCUCACCUGUGCUCACCUGUGCGCUUGCCUGGAGCCAGCCGCAGGGCCCAUAGGGUGGGCACCUGCGUCCAUGCCCUGCCCGCGCAGAAAUGCUCCAGUGCAUUCGUCUUCAAGAGGGUGUGUGGAACAGAGAAAACAGACGCUUGGCUGAUCGCACCGGCCGUGCUCACACAUAGAGAAGGACAAGUAACAAAAUCAGAAUGUGCCGUGAGGUGCGGAAACAUACCUCUGUCGUAUGGACCCAGCCCUGAGCCCGCACACCCACCACCGAUCACCUCAAGGCCCCCGAGCUCUAUCCCAGGUUCCAUUUCUUACAUUGCAUAACAGUGCACAUGAUGAGGACAUUAGCCAUCAUUUUACAUGUAUACUCUAUAUGUAUAUAUACAUUCAAUAUACGAUACAUAGGAUAUACAUAUUAUAUAGAGUAUAGGAUAUAAAUCUUAUAUUUUUAUGUAUAUUAUGUAUGCAUUACAGAUUAUUCAGUAUAUGUGCUGCAUAGAGUACUUGGUAUGAUGGGUAAUAUAUUUUCAUAUAAUUAUGUAUAUAUAAUUGUAUAUGACGUUCGUAUGUAAUCACAUAACAUAAUAUAUAUAAUUUUUACAAAUAUGUACCUCUAUGUGU